GCCGCGGCCGGCAGGUGUCCCGGGCGGUGGCGGGGCCUCGACUCCGAGCCAAGCCGUCCCCGGACGGAUCCAAGAGGCUCAACAGACCCACUGCCAUCAAACGCGUCUUUUUCUUCUCUUCUUCUUUUUUUUUUUAAGUCUGAGGGUUGACUCUUCGACCGAGAGACUGGAAUGUCCAGGAAUGUAAUGCUUGUAAUGUCCUUUAAGGUACCGAAGCUUUAUUUGCAUGGUUUAUUCCGCAUCGUGGUGUUUCCAGUGAACGUGAAAAGGGGCGGCCUGAGGCGUUCUCUGCCUUGUUCACCGCGUUCCGGUUCGCGGCCCGGCCCGGCCCGCCGGAGGCUCUGUGUGGAGAGACGGCGCGCCCAGGUGCACAGGCUCUGCUCAUGCAGAAUCUGAUGGGGCCUAAAAGAAGUCAACAAAACACAAAGGGAAUCCGACCUUUGCGGACUCGCACAGCCAGGACCAAACUUCCCGAACUUCGCUUUUGUCUUUCAUUUCGAGCUGCCAGGAGGAGAGAUGCGCCCUAACAUGGUGCAAUUGCUCACGUCGCAAACAGAACAUUCCGGAAUGCCAAAAUGAGAAUAAAAUUUCACUUAAAAAAAGA